GACGAACGCUGGCGGCGUGCUUAACACAUGCAAGUCGAACGGAAAGGCCCUGCUUUUGUGGGGCGCUCGAGUGGCGAACGGGUGAGUAACACGUGAGUAACCUGCCCUUGACUUUGGGAUAACUUCAGGAAACUGGGGCUAAUACCGGAUAGGAGCUCCUGCUGCAUGGUGGGGGUUGGAAAGUUUCGGCGGUUGGGGAUGGACUCGCGGCUUAUCAGCUUGUUGGUGGGGUAGUGGCUUACCAAGGCUUUGACGGGUAGCCGGCCUGAGCGGGUGACCGGCCCCAUUGGGACUGAGAUACGGCCCAGACUCCUACGGGAGGCAGCAGUGGGGAAUAUUGCACAAUGGGCGGAAGCCUGAUGCAGCAACGCCGCGUGCGGGAUGACGGCCUUCGGGUUGUAAACCGCUUUCGCCUGUGACGAAGCGUGAGUGACGGUAAUGGGUAAAGAAGCACCGGCUAACUACGUG
rnacentral:rRNA from 1 species